rnacentral:rRNA from 1 species
AUUGAACGCUGGCGGCAUGCUUUACACAUGCAAGUCGAACGGCAGCACGGGUGCUUGCACCUGGUGGCGAGUGGCGGACGGGUGAGUAAUACAUCGGAACGUGUCCAGAAGAGGGGGAUAACGCAUCGAAAGAUGUGCUAAUACCGCAUAUACUCUAAGGAGGAAAGCAGGGGAUCGAAAGACCUUGCGCUUUUGGAGCGGCCGAUGUCUGAUUAGCUAGUUGGUGGGGUAAGGGCCUACCAAGGCGACGAUCAGUAGUUGGUCUGAGAGGACGACCAGCCACACUGGGACUGAGACACGGCCCAGACUCCUACGGGAGGCAGCAGUGGGGAAUUUUGGACAAUGGGCGCAAGCCUGAUCCAGCAAUGCCGCGUGAGUGAAGAAGGCCUCGGUUGUAAGUACGUACUUCUAGUCGAGAAGAAAAGGAACGUAGACGAGUGAAUAACUAGUAGUUAUUAGUACGUAG